rnacentral:rRNA from 1 species
UACGUAGGUGGCGAGCGUUGUCCGGAUUUAUUGGGUUUCAAGGGUGCGUCGGCGGUCCUAUAAGUCAGUGGUGAAAUAUCGCAGCUCAACUGUGAGGGUGCCAUUGAUACUGUAGGACUUGAGUGAAUUUGAGGUAGGCGGAAUUGACGGUGUAGCGGUGAAAUGCUUAGAUAUCGCCAAGAACACCGAUAGUGAAGACAGCUUACCAAGCUUCAACUGACGCUGAGGCACGAAAGUGUGGGGAUCAAACAGG